rnacentral:rRNA from 1 species
CAGCCGCCACGGUAAUACGUAGGUGGCAAGCGUUGUCCGGAUUUACUGGGCGUAAAGCGAGCGCAGGCGGUCAAUUAAGUCUGAUGUGAAAGCCCCCGGCUCAACCGGGGAGGGUCAUUGGAAACUGGUUGACUUGAGUGCAGAAGAGGAGAGUGGAAUUCCAUGUGUAGCGGUGAAAUGCGUAGAUAUAUGGAGGAACACCAGUGGCGAAGGCGACUCUCUGGUCUGUAACUGACGCUGAGGCUCGAAAGCGUGGGGAGCAAACAGGAUUAGAUACCCCUGUAGUCCCUGUCUCUUAUAU